AUCCAUGAUAAUUUUACUUCUUAAACUCUUUCGAUAUGCACACCCCGACAACAUCUACUAUUACAUCUAAUGCUAUGGCAGUAUGGCUGCAUGGUAAUGAAUCUGAACAACUAGACAUAAAAAAACUGGUGAAAAAAAGACUACUAGAAUGGAACCUUAAACAUCUAAUACGAAACCCGACAAGCCUAACCUAGUAUCCUUCCAACCUUAAUCACCGCCCCUCUCCAAGUUGUGCAUUCAACUCUCGCACUUGGUCUGACACUAUGCUCAGCUGCAUUUGCAACUGCAAUUUGUCAUCCUUCAUGGUUUGCAUCUCUUGUGUCAUUGUUAGCAUCUUCUAUUCAAGGCUUUUCAUACUAUAAUAUUUGUAAUCAUAAAUACACCUUCCAUUUCUCAAAAUAAGGUUUUGAAUCAAGGACACAACAACGUCUUCUUGAGCAUCAUAGUCAGUUAGUUUGAAUCUUCCCACAAGACAAAGAUGGUUUCCAAUUUUGCCAGUCAUUACAAUCCCUGAAUACCUUCAAAAUUCCUUUCCAUCAAAGAACAUAACCUCCAGUAAUGUGUAGGUAAGGGUAGGGAGAGAAAGAGCUAUACACAAUUGCCCUAGCCAUUUUUGCAUGCAAUGAUUCAACACAAAAGCGGGUGAUGUGGCCUUCUCAGCAAAGGUGAUGGUGUUGCUACUUGUGAUGGCCUCAUAUGAAGCUAAUGUGCAAGUCUUCAAAUAUUACACUUCCUCGCUAUGAAAAAUUCUGAAAAUGAACACCAUUUUAUACGUACCUUCACUUGGAGAAAAGGAGUUUAGAGGAUGCACUCUUGCAUGUUGUGUGGCUUUACAUUCGCUUGACUAGCCUUAAUUCCAUAUUUCCUGCAAAGGUCUAGCCAGUGAAAUUAAGCUUUCUCAUGACUUAAAGGAGUGGAGGUGGUUGUUCGGAUACUCAUCAAUUUGUGCCUUGCACUCAUACGCACCUUGAGUAAUAUAUGUCGGGCUUCCUUUCAACAAAGACAACAAAAUACUUUUGCUUCUUAGACGGAUUCAUAUCACGUAGAUG
rnacentral:lncRNA from 1 species